UUAAGAUAAGUAGCGGUGCUUUUUUAAUUCACAAAACAGAUUCUGUUAGACCAGAGGGAGUAUAUUCCCCCGCAUAGCCAGACCAGCUAGCCUCACUGCUGACCUAAAGGGACAGCUUCUAGAUGAAGGUUGUAGCUAAAUUUUUAUGGCCCAUUUAGUCCUUGGCCUCU
ensembl:misc_RNA